GAUGAAGAACGCAGUGAAAUGCGAUACUUGGUGUGAAUUGCAGAAUCCCGCGAAUCAUCGAGUUUUUGAACGCAAGUUGCGCCCGAAGCCAUUCGGCCGAGGGCACGUCUGCCUGGGUGUCACGCAUCGUUGCCCCCCCAAACUCCGGUUCGGGCGGGGCGGAAGUUGGCCUCCCGUGCGUGCCUGCGCGCGCGGUUAGCCCAAAAGCGAGUCCUCGGCGAUGAGCGCCACGACAAUCGGUGGUUUUUUUACCCUCGUUCCUCGUCGUGCGUGCCCCGUCGCCCGAACGCGCUCUUGCAACCCUUACGCGUCGCCUCGGUGGCGCUCCCAACGCGACCCCAGGUCAGGCGGGACUACCCGCUGAGUUUAAGCAUAUCAAUAAGCGGAGGA
rnacentral:misc_RNA from 1 species